rnacentral:piRNA from 1 species
UAUUUAAUUGGUCAGUUCUCC